rnacentral:rRNA from 1 species
CCUACGGGUGGCAGCAGUGAGGAAUAUUGGUCAAUGGGCGCGAGCCUGAACCAGCCAAGUCGCGUGAGGGAAGACGGCCCUACGGGUUGUAAACCUCUUUUGCCGGGGAGCAACGGGCGCCACGUGUGUCUCCCCUGAGAGUACCCGCAGAAAAAGCAUCGGCUACCUCCUUGCCAGCAGCGGCGGUAAUAAGGAGGGUGGGAGCGUUUUCCGGGUUUUUUGGGUUUAAAGGGUGCUGAGGCGGCGGGUUAAGUUAGUGGUGAAAUUUGGAGGCCCAACCCCUUCACCGCCGUUGAAAUGGGCGGGCUUGAGAGGAAGUGAAGUAGGCGGAAUGCGUGGUGUAGCGGUGAAAUGCAUAGAGAUCACACAGAACCCCGAUUGCGAAGGCAGCAUGCCGGGUUACGACUGACGCUGAAGCACGAAAGCGUGGGGAUCGAACAGGAUUAGAUACCCCAGUAGUC